rnacentral:rRNA from 1 species
UACGUAGGGACCAAGCGUUGUUCGGAUUUACUGGGCGUAAAGGGCGCGUAGGCGGCGUGACAAGUCACUUGUGAAAUCUCUGGGCUUAACCCAGAACGGCCAAGUGAUACUGUCGUGCUAGAGUGCGGAAGGGGCAAUCGGAAUUCUCGGUGUAGCGGUGAAAUGCGUAGAUGUCGAGAGGAACACCUGAGGUGAAGACGGGUUGCUGGGCCGACACUGACGCUGAGGAGCGAAAGCGUGGGGAGCGAACAGG